UUGCAAGAGGGUGUGUGUUGCCUCAAGAGGAGAACAGUGUGCUGUUCUCAGGAGGUUCGGGCAGACAAUUCUGUGGAACAUGCUGCAAAACUGCAUUCCCACCCCAGGUCAAUUUCCAGAGGCUCAGGAGGGCCAGUAACAAAAAAAGUCACAAGGUGAAGCAAGCGUUGCUGACUGUGGUCCUGGAAGCCUCACCUUCCCAGGCCUUGCAGCUAGCGAGCCUGGGUCAAGACCCCUGGAAAUGAACUUCAUGCAAUGCGCAAUUUGACACAACUGUGCCAGCUGGAACCCACCUCCAGGAGCUGAGUAGAUAAGAAACCUGAACCAAGAGAGAAUGUAAUGCCUCCUGAAGUUGACAUGAAGUGGUGGGAAAGGACGCCAGCCCAAGCAGUCUGACCUGAAUGCAUUCUUACAUUAUGUUCUGAUUCAAACAUAUGUAUUGUUCCUUGUAUAAAACCUGGAAAAUAUUAAAAAGAACGCAGAAGAAAA